ACAUGUCAUCAUCAAUUUUACUAACAUUUUUCGUGGACUACAAACAUCAUUCUAAAAGACCAAAUGACAUCUAUGUACUUGCUCACGACACAAUUAGGCCCAAUAUCCUUUAUGAAUCCAUUCAAGCAAAACCAGCAACUCUACCAACGUCUUCCACCUUCGCUGCAACCUUUCAUUAUCCUUUCUUCACUGUUUAGGAAC
rnacentral:lncRNA from 1 species